rnacentral:rRNA from 1 species
CAGUCGCCACGGGAAUACGAAGGGUGCAAGCGUUAAUCGGAUUUACUGGGCGUAAAGCGUGCGUAGGCGGCUAAUUGAGUCGGAUGUGAAAUCCCCGAGCUUAACUUGGGAAUUGCAUUCGAUACUGGUUAGCUAGAGUGUGGGAGAGGAUGGUAGAAUUCCAGGUGUAGCGGUGAAAUGCGUAGAGAUCUGGAGGAAUACCGAUGGCGAAGGCAGCCAUCUGGCCUAACACUGACGCUGAGGUACGAAAGCAUGGGGAGCAAACAGGAUUAGAUACCCCCGUAGUCCCUGUCUCUUAUAC